AACAGUAAGGAUAAAGCCGAGAUCCAAAUCAGACGUUACUUAGGACGAGGAGACAACACCAAUCUAUUUAACAAACACGGGAGAGCAUUCCCCGUGUAACUAGCAAGAGUGUGGGAAAACUUACGUGGAAUAAACGCUUCUAAAAACCCAAAACCUCGAUAGGAUCCUAACGCUUGCGUUGAAAACUUGUGUUCAUCAAUUGGUCUCAGGACUCGGUUAUCUUCCAACGCUCUGUUGAUGCAGCAAGAGCUGAUCAGAAGUAAAUGGCAGAGUAUAGAAGUGCAAUGGGUGUCAUCACCAGGUCAAUACAGUCAAAAUAAACUUCUGAUACAUCGUCAUCCCUGAUUAAGAGAUGGUCCAUGGUCAACAGGCUGGACAAACACUGGUUCAAUAGGUCAACUGGACAUUCAAUGAUGGCGCGUCCUAGGAUACGAGACUUUCCGAGAUUUCCUAUCACCAAUGGAAAUAGACUUUAUCAAAGACUUUGGGCCGACAUCUUCCUCCAUAUAAUCUUGUGCAAGUGAAUUAUUGUUCGUUCCCUGGCUGCUCUCCAUACAAAGAAACAUCUACAAACAUCUGUCUGCAAGUGAACAAGCUGUGGGGGGAACCAGCUUAAGUUUAGACUGUGUUUCAGAACCUCGAUUGGCUCAAACAUUUUGUAUUAUUUUCAUUUUAUUUUCAAGGGACUGAUUCACGAUUUUACCCAGAAUUUUGUUUUUUUACUUUUAAUGAUCAGAAUCUACUGUGUAAUGUGUUUGAAAGAUUUCAAAUGAAAAUUAAGGUUAUACACUGUACAUCAUCACGGAAGCUCAUUUUAGAGAGUUUAUUAUUUGUUUUGUAAACAAAGAUUGCAGUAUGCUAUUGUUUACGAAAUUUUCAUAAAAAAUAGAUAUCGAUCUAAGUUUAUUAUUUUUUUCACAUUUCAAGCAUUUUGGGGGUAAAAUGUGUCAUCUAAAAGUUAAAAUUUGUGACUAUGCAAAAUUAAGAUGCAUUAUAUUACAAAAUCAAUAUUUCACUUCUUUGUUUGUUUACAUAAAAAGUUUACAUAACACAGUUUUAAGGCUAAAAUAUUGCUUGCAUUCAGAAGGUCAAAAUUUGGCUGUCAACAACAAAUGAGUUAUAUUUUUAAUGUUUAACAUUAAAAAUGAAAAUUAUUUUUAUCAAAAAUCGUGAACCAGUCCCUUUAAAGGAUUAAAUUAUUUGUAUUUAAUUCUUGAAAGACAAUUUAUGUUAUUUUAAAACACAACGCGGAGAUAUUUUAUUUUUCUUAUUAAAAGCUAUACGAUCGAUUUUUAUUCAUUGUAAUUGUAAUAAACUUAAAUUAUAGCU